GUAAUAGCUCACUGGUCGAGUCGGCCUGCGCGGAAGAUGUAACGGGGCUAAACCAUGCACCGAAGCUGCGGCAGCGACGCUGAUGCGUUGUUGGGUAGGGGAGCGUUCUGUAAGCCUGUGAAGGUGUACUGUGAGGCAUGCUGGAGGUAUCAGAAGUGCGAAUGCUGACAUAAGUAACGAUAAAGCGGGUGAAAAGCCCGCUCGCCGGAAGACCAAGGGUUCCUGUCCAACGUUAAUCGGGGCAGGGUGAGUCGACCCCUAAGGCGAGGCCGAAAGGCGUAGUCGAUGGGAAACAGGUUAAUAUUCCUGUACUUGGUGUUACUGCGAAGGGGGGACGGAGAAGGCUAUGUUGGCCGGGCGACGGUUGUCCCGGUUUAAGCGUGUAGGCUGGUUUUCCAGGCAAAUCCGGAAAAUCAAGGCUGAGGCGUGAUGACGAGGCACUACGGUGCUGAAGCAACAAAUGCCCUGCUUCCAGGAAAAGCCUCUAAGCAUCAGGUAACAUCAAAUCGUACCCCAAACCGACACAGGUGGUCAGGUAGAGAAUACCAAGGCGCUUGAGAGAACUCGGGUGAAGGAACUAGGCAAAAUGGUGCCGUAACUUCGGGAGAAGGCACGCUGAUAUGUAGGUGAAGUCCCUCGCGGAUGGAGCUGAAAUCAGUCGAAGAUACCAGCUGGCUGCAACUGUUUAUUAAAAACACAGCACUGUGCAAACACGAAAGUGGACGUAUACGGUGUGACGCCUGCCCGGUGCCGGAAGGUUAAUUGAUGGGGUCAGCGCAAGCGAAGCUCUUGAUCGAAGCCCCGGUAAACGGCGGCCGUAACUAUAACGGUCCUAAGGUAGCGAAAUUCCUUGUCGGGUAAGUUCCGACCUGCACGAAUGGCGUAAUGAUGGCCAGGCUGUCUCCACCCGAGACUCAGUGAAAUUGAACUCGCUGUGAAGAUGCAGUGUACCCGCGGCAAGACGGAAAGACCCCGUGAACCUUUACUAUAGCUUGACACUGAACAUUGAGCCUUGAUGUGUAGGAUAGGUGGGAGGCUUUGAAGUGUGGACGCCAGUCUGCAUGGAGCCGACCUUGAAAUACCACCCUUUAAUGUUUGAUGUUCUAACGU
rnacentral:rRNA from 1 species